rnacentral:rRNA from 1 species
ACGGAAAGACCCCGUGAACCUUUACUAUAGCUUGACACUGAACAUUGAGCCUUGAUGUGUAGGAUAGGUGGGAGGCUUUGAAGUGUGGACGCCAGUCUGCAUGGAGCCGACCUUGAAAUACCACCCUUUAAUGUUUGAUGUUCUAACGUUGACCCCUAAUCGGGGUUGCGGACAGUGUCUGGUGGGUAGUUUGACUGGGGCGGUCUCCUCCUAAAGAGUAACGGAGGAGCACGAAGGUUG